GACAGAGGGUGCAAACGUUGUUCGGAAUUACUGGGCGUAAAGCGCACGUAGGCGGCUUUGUAAGUUAGAGGUGAAAAGCCCGGGGGCUCAACUCCGGAAUUGCCUUUAAGACUGCAUCGCUAGAAUCAUGGAGAGGUUAGUGGAAUUCCGAGUGUAGAGGUGAAAAUUCGUAGAUAUUCGGAAGAACACCAGUGGCGAAGGCGACUAACUGGACAUGUAUUGACGCUGAGGUGCGAAAAGCGUGGGGGAGCAAACAGG
rnacentral:rRNA from 1 species